rnacentral:rRNA from 1 species
AUUGAACGCUGGCGGCAUGCCUUACACAUGCAAGUCGAACGGCAGCACGGGUGCUUGCACCUGGUGGCGAGUGGCGAACGGGUGAGUAAUACAUCGGAACAUGUCCUGUAGUGGGGGAUAGCCCGGCGAAAGCCGGAUUAAUACCGCAUACGAUCUACGGAUGAAAGCGGGGGACCUUCGGGCCUCGCGCUAUAGGGUUGGCCGAUGGCUGAUUAGCUAGUUGGUGGGGUAAAGGCCUACCAAGGCGACGAUCAGUAGCUGGUCUGAGAGGACGACCAGCCAAAGUGGGACUGAGAAACGGCCCAGAGUCCUGCGGGAGGCAGAAGGGGGGGAUUUUGGAGAAGGGGCGAAAGCCGGAUACAGCAAUGCGGCGUGUGGGAAGAAGGCCUUCGGGGUGUAGAGCACGUUUGUGCGGAAAGAAAGCAUUGGCCCUAGUACGGGCGGGGGAUGACGGUACCGGAAGAAUAAGCACCGGCUAACUACGUG